rnacentral:rRNA from 1 species
GACGAACCGAGCGAACGUUGUUCGGAAUCACUGGGCUUAAAGGGCGCGUAGGCGGGUGUGAAAGUCUGCGGUGAAAUCCUCCAGCUUAACUGGAGAAGUGCCGUGGAUACUGCACAUCUUGAGGAGGGUAGGGGCAUCUGGAACGGUCGGUGGAGCGGUGAAAUGCGUUGAUAUCGACCGGAACUCCGGUGGCGAAGGCGAGGUGCUGGACCCUUUCUGACGCUGAGGCGCGAAAGCCAGGGGAGCAAACGGG